AGAGUAAAUUGGGUGAUCGCGGAUUUAUACAUUUUCGAGGAAGGUCUGGACUCCAAAGGACAGGAUAGCGGCUAACGACCGUCUAAUUAGUAAAAUUAUAUUUUAUGUGAUUAAGAAAUAGGGCCACAGAGACGAGUUUGCAAGCUAUGCAAAAAUUAUUUAUAUAUUUGCUUAUAUUGCAAGGUGAAACGCGGCAACCUUUAUCCGGAGCAACAUCAAAUAGGUAUGCGCUUGAUAUUAUAUCAUGAAGAGCGGUCCGCUUGAGUAUACGGGUAGAUGGCUACAACAAAUUUGCGAAAAUUUGUGCAGAUGAAUGAUCACCAUCUUGUUAUUUUUAACAAGAUAACAGAAUCCAGCCUAUAGAUUUACUCUGUUU
rnacentral:RNase_P_RNA from 2 species